rnacentral:rRNA from 1 species
UACGAAUGGGGCAAGCGUUGUUCGGAAUCACUGGGCUUAAAGCGUGCGCAGGCGGUCUUGCAAGUCAGGAGUGAAAUCCCGGGGCUUAACCCCGGAAUUGCUUCUGAAACUGCAAGACUAGAAUAUGGGAGAGGUUAGCAGAAUUCCGAGUGUAGAGGUGAAAUUCGCAGAUAUUCGGAGGAAUACCAGUGGCGAAGGCGGCUAACUGGACCAUUAUUGACGCUCAGGCACGAAAGCGUGGGGAGCAAACAGG